UAGGGAAUCUUCCACAAUGGACGAAAGUCUGAUGGAGCAACGCCGCGUGAACGAUGAGGGCCUUCGGGUCGUAAAGUUCUGUUGUAAGGGAAGAACAAGUGCCGCAGGCAAUGGCGGCACCUUGACGGUACCUUGCGAGAAAGCCACGGCUAACUACGUGCCAGCAGCCGCGGUAAUACGUAGGUGGCAAGCGUUGUCCGGAAUUAUUGGGCGUAAAGCGCGCGCAGGCGGCCUCUUAAGUCUGAUGUGAAAGCCCCCGGCUCAACCGGGGAGGGCCAUUGGAAACUGGGAGGCUUGAGUAUAGGAGAGAAGAGUGGAAUUCCGCGUGUAGCGGUGAAAUGCGUAGAGAUGUGGAGGAACACCAGUGGCGAAGGCGACUCUUUGGCCUAUAACUGACGCUGAGGCGCGAAAGCGUGGGGAGCAGACAGGAUUAGAUACCCUGGUAGUCCACGCCGUAAACGAUGAGUGCUAGGUGUUGGAGGGUUUCCGCCCUUCAGUGCUGAAGCUAACGCAUUAAGCACUCCGCCUGGGGAGUACGGUCGCAAGGCUG
rnacentral:rRNA from 1 species